GCCGUCCGGCCCCCUCGCUGUAAUCUUUGCCUUUCUUAAACGCUUAACUCUGAUGCAUUCAUAUCUGUACAAAUUCUGACCUACUUAUCCGAGGGCCCAGUCUACGGCAGGCGAUCAGGAUGGAGCUCUAUUUGCUCGGGCUUCUCAAGCCACUUUGUGCUGCCUCUUCUGAGCCACAUGUGCACGUUGAGCUGGGACAUGUGAAGCACUGUGCACUAUUUCAGAUAGUCUGCAUUUCGUCUCCGGUUCAGGACACUCGGGCUUGAGCUGAGUCCUGACUCUGACUCACAGUUCAGAGUCAUCUUCCGAAGGAAGUACGAUGUCCAGGGGAAGGCCAACUUUUGCCCUGAUGUUCCACGUUCUUCUGGGACCUUCAUUAGCAAGUGAAGCAUUGUGGGCUUCAUAAAAGACCAGGUCCGCCCGGAUUGGAAACAAGGGAUAAUCGCUACUGAGUGGGAAAUUGCCACGUUUGAAAUUACUGCCGGGGAAAAAAAAAGGUUGGUAGAGGUCCACACUUGAGACUCUUCCAUUUUAUGUCCUUCUCAAAGCUUGUUCAUUUAUAUGGAGAAAAGUUCUUUAGUGAAACAUUCAAAAUAACAAACAUCAAUUAGAGGCUGUGCUCGUGAGAUGCCUUUCAUCUUCGGGCCUGGGAGCGCUCCACAAACACUCAUUAAGUCCUUCCAAAUGCUGCUGCCAGCGAGGUACUCGAACCUUCCUUCCCGCUGAGCAGGAAGUGCUGGUGUCAGGAGAUAGUUCUCUGUGUGGGGUGCAGUCAUGGUUUCGAAUGCAUAGUUCCCAAGCCAGGAUAGAGUAGUGGGCAAACUGAGUACCGAUUGAGCCAGAACUCCUUAGCGUAAUCAAGACUGGCAUAUUAGCAAUAACCAAACCCUUCUCUGGGUGAGACGUGCCAUAUUUUCUAAGCUGUAUUCCAAUUUUUCAUCAAAUGAAUGGACUUCAUGGCCUGUUUUCUCUUAAUUGUACGCUCUCUGCCAUAUACCUCACGGAAAGACACAUAUUCAGCUCCCUUUCUGCAAAGAUAUCAGUGACUUUGGAAUCCAACCUCUGUAAACACUGGCAUCCUCAGAAUGAAGGCAAAUGUCUCCAUAACAAAACCUUCCUUGGUCCUUGUGCUUCAUGUUGCUUUCACUUAGAAACUUCUGGCAGUGUAUCUGGAUGACAGUUUGGUGGGUUGGUUGAUUUGUGCCCCAUGUUGAUGCCUCUCCCAGUUGGAAUUUCUUCCUGGUUCCCACCUUUUGGAGAACGCGUUGGAUCGACACUGCCGGGAAGGAGUGGAUCCGAAUGAGCUACUGAGGCAGAAUUCCCGUGGCUUGCCGAGGCUGUGAGGAGCGGGGUCACCCAGAGGUCAGAAAGAGCCUCGGGCGGAACGAACGAACUGUAUUUCCUUAUUUUGGUGAAUGGUACCGUGAGCCACCCUGCUACCCGAACUAGGGCCUGGCAGUUGCCCAUAAUUCCUCCUCGUUCACCUCUAAUUGGUCAUAAAAUCCUGUUGCUAUUACCUGAAGAACGAUCCCCGUGGCAUGAGUUCAAACCCUCAUCGGUUUGGUUUUGUUUUUAACCUGGAUUUUUCCAACAGUGUUCUAACAGGCCUCUUUGUCUCUCAUCUCAGUCCACACGUCAAUUACCUCCACGCUGCUGCCAGGGUGAGUUUUCCGCAGCCCAGAUAGGACUACAUCUGUCCCCUGUCAAACUUCCCCUGGCUCCCCAUCGUCUUCCAGAUAGUACCCAGGGUCACAGGAGGCCACAGCGCGGGGUGUCCUCGGGCCCGAGUCAGCGUGCUCAGUGCCAACCGUCACCACUUGGCCUGCAGGCUGCGUUCCAGCCCUUCCAGCUCUUUCUCACCAUCUGGGGGCUUUGCAGGCCCCUCUGCCUGUUUCGGAUGUCACCUGCUCCAGAAAACCUUCCUGAAAACGGUCCCCUCCACCCAGACCUGGAUGAAGACCCCUUUUAUCUGCCCCCAGAAGCACCCUGUGCUUAUCUGUGUCAAAGCACUUAUCAAACUCAGUCAUUGUGUCCUUGAUUCCUCUAUAGGCAGCGAGCUCUUUGAGGGCAAAGAAUGUCUUUUGUCCCUAAAGCCUCACAUAUGGCAAGGAAUAUAAUAUUGGUGGCUAAAAGUUUGCAAAAUUAGUGAAUUAAGAAUUU